rnacentral:rRNA from 1 species
AUUGAACGCUGGCGGCAGGCCUAACACAUGCAAGUCGAGCGGAUGAAGGGAGCUUGCUCCUGGAUUCAGCGGCGGACGGGUGAGUAAUGCCUAGGAAUCUGCCUGGUAGUGGGGAUAACGUCCGGAAACGGGCGCUAAUACCGCAUACGUCCUGAGGGAGAAAGUGGGGGAUCUUCGGACCUCACGCUAUCAGAUGAGCCUAGGUCGGAUUAGCUAGUUGGUGGGGUAAGGCCUACCAAGGCGACGAUCCGUAACUGGUCUGAGAGGAUGAUCAGUCACACUGGAACUGAGACACGGUCCAGACUCCUACGGGAGGCAGCAGUGGGGAAUAUUGGACAAUGGGCGAAAGCCUGAUCCAGCCAUGCCGCGUGUGUGAAGAAGGUCUUCGGAUUGUAAAGCACUUUAAGUUGGGAGGAAGGGCAGUAAGUUAAUACCUUGCUGUUUUGACGUUACCAACAGAAUAAGCACCGGCUAACUUCGUG